rnacentral:rRNA from 1 species
GACGAACGCUGGCGGCGUGCUUAACACAUGCAAGUCGAACGGAAAGGCCCUGCUUUUGUGGGGUGCUCGAGUGGCGAACGGGUGAGUAACACGUGAGUAACCUGCCCUUGACUUUGGGAUAACUUCAGGACACUGGGGCUAAUACCGGAUAGGAGCUCCCGCUGCAUGGUGGGGGUUGGAAAGUUUCGGCGGUUGGGGAUGGACUCGCGGCUUAUCAGCUUGUUGGUGGGGUAGUGGCUUACCAAGGCUUUGACGGGUAGCCGGCCUGAGAGGGUGACCGGCCACAUUGGGACUGAGAUACGGCCCAGACUCCUACGGGAGGCAGCAGUGGGGAAUAUUGCACAAUGGGCGGAAGCCUGAUGCAGCAACGCCGCGUGCGGGAUGACGGCCUUCGGGUUGUAAACCGCUUUCGCCUGUGACGAAGCGUGAGUGACGGUAAUGGGGAAAGAAGCACCGGCUAACUACGUG